CCUACGGGAGGCAGCAGUGGGGAAUAUUGGACAAUGGGCGAAAGCCUGAUCCAGCCAUGCCGCGUGUGUGAAGAAGGCCUUCGGGUUGUAAAGCACUUUCAGUGGGGAAGAAAGCCUUGGGGCUAAUACCCUCGAGGAAGGACAUCACCCACAGAAGAAGCACCGGCUAACUCCGUGCCAGCAGCCGCGGUAAUACGGAGGGUGCGAGCGUUAAUCGGAAUUACUGGGCGUAAAGCGCGCGUAGGCGGUCUGAUAAGCCGGUUGUGAAAGCCCCGGGCUCAACCUGGGAACGGCAUCCGGAACUGUCAGGCUAGAGUGCAGGAGAGGAAGGUAGAAUUCCCGGUGUAGCGGUGAAAUGCGUAGAGAGCGGGAGGAAUACCAGUGGCGAAGGCGGCCUUCUGGACUGACACUGACGCUGAGGUGCGAAAGCGUGGGUAGCAAACAGGAUUAGAUACCCUUGUAGUC
rnacentral:rRNA from 1 species